UACGGAGGGGGCUAGCGUUGUUCGGAAUUACUGGGCGUAAAGCGCACGUAGGCGGCUUUGUAAGUUAGAGGUGAAAGCCCGGGGCUCAACUCCGGAAUUGCCUUUAAGACUGCAUCGCUAGAAUUGUGGAGAGGUAAGUGGAAUUCCGAGUGUAGAGGUGAAAUUCGUAGAUAUCAGGAGGAACACCUGUGGUGUAGACAGCUUUCUGGACCAUUGCUGACGCUGAGACACGAAAGCGUGGGGUAGCAAACAGG
rnacentral:rRNA from 1 species